GACGAACGCUGGCGGCGUGCUUAACACAUGCAAGUCGAACGGAAAGGCCCUGCGUUUGUGGGGUGCUCGAGUGGCGAACGGGUGAGUAACACGUGAGUAACCUGCCCUUGACUUUGGGAUAACUUCAGGAAACUGGGGCUAAUACCGGAUAGGAGCUCCUGCUGCAUGGUGGGGGUUGGAAAGUUUCGGCGGUUGGGGAUGGACUCGCGGCUUAUCCGCUUGUUGGUGGGGUAGUGGCUUACCAAGGCUUUGACGGGUAGCCGGCCUGGGAGGGUGACCGGCCACAUUGGGACUGAGAUACGCCCCAGACGCCUACGUGAGGCAGCAGGGGGGAAUAUUACACAAUGGGGGGAAGCCUGAGGCAGCAACGCCGGGUGCGGGAUGACGGCCUUUGGGGUGUAAACAGCUUUCGACUGAGACGAAGCGUGAGUGACGGUAAUGAGUAAAGAAGCACCGGCUAACUACGUG
rnacentral:rRNA from 1 species